CAUCACCCCAGAGCCAGCCCAGAGCUUCUGAAGACUACUCCACAGCUUGGGGAUGGAACCCCAGGAUGUGCAUCUCCACCAAGCUCCCAGCGGGAGCUUGUGCGCUGGUUCAGGGGCCACAUCUGGGGACCACCACUCUGGUGGGACCAGUGUUCUCGUCUUGUUUGCACCUGGGAGCCACCUGGCGACCUGGGGAGACGCUGACACCAGGGGCCCCACCCCAGGGUUCUGUGUACUUGGUCUGCGGGGUGGCGGGGCAUCGGGGUUUAAAGGUCCCCAGGAGAUCCCAGCAUGCCGCAGGGGUUGAGGCCGCUGCUCUGUGCCAGGCGGUCGGUCUCCCGGUGGAAAGAGACGCAAGCAUCCUCUCUCUUAUCUGGAGAGACAUACCAAGUCCAGAACGCCAUCGGCUUAGAACCCAAAUCGGAUAGUCAGAGGCGUGCCUGAGCCCGCAUGCAAGAUGAAGACAAAACCAGGGCCAAAGAAAACGAACAACAGAUGUUUGGGAGACACUGGGGCCUUACGAGUGUUUUCCGUCUCUGACUUUGACUCAGAUAAGAGGCGGCUCCCCAGGAUGGCUGCUGCCCUCAUCCUAAGGGACCGGCUUGAACAGAAGGCCCCCCCCAAGUGCGGGCCUCCCCCCCAGAGGGUCUGAGCUUGCCCCCUUCCCUCAGCCAGGAGGUUCCAACCGCGUGUCUGCCGCACCACUGGCGUCUCAAGGUGCGAGUUGUGCUAAGGUGGGGGUACUACGUGGUGGGGUGGGCGGCCAGAUUUAGGAAAAACGAACCCCUAGACAAACAGAGAACAAAAUUCCCCCAAGCCAGACGCCCAGGCACAUUUAGAUCUCAGAUGAACGAUGAAAAGUUUUUAGUGUGUGUCCCGGGGAACACUUGAGAUGUACUUGUAGUGAAGAAUUAUUUGUUGUUUAUCUGAGCUUCAAUCCCGCGGGCAUCUCGGGUCUCAUCCGUAGCCCUGUUUGUGGGGCUUGGUUUCUGUCAAGCCCUGCCCCCUCCCUGGCUGCACUCCAGGGCACACUCCUCACGUUCCCUGCGAGCAGGUGGAAACGCUCGGCAUCUCUGCUGUCCUCCCGGAGCCCAGUCCCCAGCCUGGGCUAGGUGGGGAAGGCAGUGUUGGAGCCUGGCCCCCUCGCUUUGUAGUUGUUUGUUUCCUCCUCUUCCUCUCAGGAGCUUCCUAAGGAGAAACAAUCGCAGGGGCUGUGCUCUUGGCUGAACGGUGUGCAGUCCUGCGACUUGGUCUGAUGUCCAUCGUGGGAUCGCUGACCCUCUGGAGGAAUGUGAACAGCUGCGUCAGGCCAACCGGGCCGCUGAGGGCAGGGCCCCUCAACAGACAGCGAGGCCGUGCUGUGUUCUAGGGGCCUGAGACCCAGCGCUGCUGAGCUGCGGUGAGAAAACUGCUCUCUGCCACCUCCAUUGUCACUGCAGUAAAUCUACAGACCUGCCCCGAGCCCAGCCGCCUGGACCACCUGGGAUUGCGGCUUGUUUAUGGGCCCACAGACACACAACGCAGGGGAGCCAGGGAGGGAGACACAGGACCAACAGAGAUGCAGACUCUCCAACCAGCUGUUGAAGGAGGGGACCACGUGGGCGUCAGGAAUCCGGUGUGGGAUUCCUGUCCCUGCUGCGGUGCCAAGAGGUGGCUGAACCAGCAGGUCUGAUGAGCAGGUGUGAAGACGUCUGCUGUGUCAUCGGUGCUUUCAGAUGAUCAUGAAAACUAAUUGAGACCGACCCCUGUGGCUCUGCCGUGUUCUGUCUACCCGUCCGGGCAGCUUCUUUAAAAGGAGCGUUUUCUUUCCCUUCCGGUGCAUGUGCUGGUCAAAUCCGAGACUUCGAUAAGUGAAAGAAAUAAUGCACUUCGUGGACAAGUUAGAAAAGAGACAAGCAAGAAAGACUGAGGAGAGCCCGGCCCCGCUGUGUUGCGGCCACGGCCAUGGCCAUGGCCACGGCUGCCGGCUGCUGGGACUCACCUCCGACCUUCCUCGUGGGCCGCGCUCAGCGUGACCUAUUUUUGCAGCCCUGGGGUCCUUGCCCACACAGUCUCGUACUCGGGCCUUUCCCUUAGUGUACAGGGCGAGCAUUCUCGCCUGCCGUGGAAGUGUUCUAAGGUGAUUUUCACGCCUGUAGGCUGUGCCAGGUCAGCAUGCUGAUUCAAUUCUCACCCCUGCUGUCAAAAUGUCUAAACGGAAAAGAGCCAGCCCAGGUCUUCUCUCCUGGGGGAAAGCCUGGGCCUGACUUCGAAGGGACCAGGUCUGCCGCAGGGAGGGAGGCUCCUGCACCCAGACCCGCUGCCUUGGGAGCCCCGGGGGCCAGCUUCCUCUCCGCAUUGUGGAGUCUGUUCGCUUAAGCGUGACCCACAAGUUGAAGGUAUUAAUUCGUGUCCCCCUGACCACCCCCAGAUGAACACCCGAUGUGAAAUCAGGAGGGAAAAAAGAUGUGCGUCGGAACCACCGCUGCCUGCGCUGCGGGGGAUGCCGGGAGGAAGAGACACGGUUACCUCCCCAGGCCUCAGCCCGGCCUUUUAUAAUCAGCGUCAGGACGUCUUUCAUGGCAGGAACACAAAAUGAGGCUGCGUCAAAGGGACUCCUUCUGAGAAGAAACUGUUGAACAGGCUUGACGGGAACCCGGCUCGGUGAGGCCCCAGCACUGAAGGGCUCACUGACUCACGGUUUCCUUGGCUGGAGCCUCCCAGCACCCAGGGACCUGCUCAGUGCGCAUGGGACAUGAUCUUAGUCACCCUGAGGUCGUCCCCAUGGACCUCGAGUCUCGCCCCACGCGUCUCCUCCUGAGCUUGCACCACUGCUGGCAUCAGUUGCUUCUUUUUUUUUUUAUCAUGGAUUUAAAAUUUUUUAAUUUUUUAUACAAUUUUAAUAUUCAUUCAUUUAUUUUUUUGUUGAAGUAUAGUUUGU